UUCAGGGGUAAAUUUAAAAAACCCAAAAAAUCGAACGAGGAGAUUCAUCGUCAGCGGCGCUGGCUUUGCAUCGAUGGGCGAUGUCCCGCGGAGUCCUCGCUGCUCGCGCGCGGGCACGCUACCGUGCGCCGAUGUCCGGCUGUCGUCGUCGUGCACUUCUUUCCAAGUAGAACGUCGCGACCCGCUGAGUGUCGGUCUACGGCCCGGUGACUGCCGCGUCGCCGGUAAAACGGCACGCAACAAACCCUCGGUCUCCCGGCCGGUUGCUCGGNGGUACGCGCAAAGUAUCAGGCCGCACUUAUACACGGNGCGUCNAGGCCGUCGCAAGCGAUCGCCANGGUACUCAGAAAUUANGGACUUUGCNCUGUUCCCGGUCCUGGCUCGCUGUUGGNUAAAGUACGGAUCACCUUC
rnacentral:rRNA from 1 species